GCCCAUCUCUUUGAUUUAUAUUAGUUGCAUGUGUAAAAUCUUGGGGUGUUUUAUUUAUUUAUGUAAGUUGCAUGUAAUUUGUGAAAAUUUAUAGGAAAUUUUUGAAAUUUGUAGGAAAUAUUUGUACUGUGUAGGAAAUAUUUGAAAUUUGGAAAUUUGUAGGAAGUAUUAGGUGAUUCUGUAUGAAUUUUAUGAAUUAAUGUAUUUAAUAGUGUAUUUUUGUAUAAUGACUCAACGACAGUGAUGUCGGAUAUUCCACGGGUAGGACCAGUGGCAGCCAACUGGCCAUCGCCAAGUCGGCGGCUGGGCCCACUCCUUCGCUUCAUCAAUUUGGGAGCCUUGAUAUGCCUGACGAAUGCACAACUAGAAAUGGCAUGGCGUUGAGCCAUUCCAGCCCCCACUGGUGACACCGUAGAGGCAGAUGCUAAUUCGACGGUCAUGCGCCCAACAGGAGACAGAGAACUUCUAGCCGGGGUCGGAAGAAGGUUAACUUCGAGGUCGAUGUGGAAGUGUCAGGUAUGUCCGAUUAUGUAAACUGGGUGUGGACUAAUCGGUACAAGGGAGUAAAAAUACGAGUUGCACAUGUACUACCAAAUUUGUGCAUCUCCUGCUGAAGCUAUAACUAAUCCACCCAUGGAGUCGCAAAAAGGAUAGAGGAGUGUCACUAACUUUGUGGUCAUUUUUAGAGCCCAAAAAUUCUUCAAAUAAGGGUAACCAUGAAGUGAAGCAAAACCUCUAUCAUUCUAGUUCUCGGCCAUUGACAUUCCGAAUCAAUGAACAUCAUAAGAAGAGUUUGCUUUUCCCGAAAGUCGACGCUUGGGGGGAUACACAUGUCAAUUAUGGCAACCAUGUGACUGACGACAUUUAUCUUGUUUGUUGCAGAAGGAAAAGUAUCUCGCCAAUCUCUCCCAUUAGCAACCAGACACACCACUAGAGCAGUUGACAUCUGAUCCAAAUGUGUCUCUACAGUUGCUGAUGGAUGGGGUUGGGUGACAGAAAGGCCAGUAGUUUCACAGCCUAGGAGCAGGUUAGGGUUGGGACCUUGGGGGAUCUUCUUCAUCUAGCUCUCAGUCUCCAAGUGGGACGUCUUCCAAACUAUAGCAGUUGGAGAUGGAGUUAGAGGCUUUGCGCCAUCGAGAAGAAGUGCGCCAUUGAGAAAAAGCUCAGAAAGAAGAUGUGUGCUUGGGCCCUGUGGGAUGAUGAGUUUCAGCCGUGCAUUGCUGGGAUGGCGCAGACAAUGGAAACCUUUGGCAUUCUCCUUCAUGAUCCUCCAAGCAACCUUCAGCCAUCACCCUAGGAAUAUAUUCCAUACAUUUGUAUUAAUAUUUCAAUACUUAUUAAUAUAAUUAAAUACACUUUUUUAUAUUGUAAUUUUUUAAAAUUAAUAUAAUUAAAACUAAUUAAUGUAUUUAAAAUUUUAAUUAAAAAUGUUUAAAAAGUCAAGCUAAGUU